GGGUAUUGUGAAAGGGCACUAAACAAAACCUUGGUUUCGGACCCUAUUCUAUGAUUUUUAAUUGCUGUUACUGAUGCCAAUGCCCUUAGUGUCAUGCAACAGUUUUAGCAUCUACUUGUAUGAAUUAACAUGUUUAGUCUUGUUCAAUCAUCUCUUCUUCUCCUAUAUCCACCAGCUUUGGAAUAUUCUACGGCUUUGCACAUGGACAGGACUAGAAUCUUGGUGGUAAGAAAGUAAAUUAAACUGAAUUAUUUUGGGAAGAUGGUUCUUGUGUUACUAUAUUGGCUGGUGGCACUAGUGGUACUAGAGCUCGAGGUGGCAACUCGAAUGUGCAUAGCCUGAUUUUGAGGUAGUUUGACGGCAUGUCCAUGCCAGGCACCCUGAAGUAGCCCGGCUUGCACACGUAUAUUAAGGGUUAGUUCUUUUCUUGAUAUACAUAGCCAAUAAACCAUUUGACUCUUUUUUCGAUACGAAGAUCUGGUCAAAAGUUAUUUUAGAAAAUUUGACUGCUCGACAUAGUCUAGGUGGGCAAUUGGGACCUACAAUCCAGCAAGACUCCAGUGUAAGUAUAGAUCGAAAUAUUGUGACUGGGCCAUCCCAAGUCUAGACAAUGUUACACGUUCAAAAACCUUAAGUAGAAUAUGGAUAUGCUUUUACUUCAUAGAAAUAUGUUACAAAUGCCUUUGAAAGUAAAUUAUCUUUAAAAUGAUCCAAGAUGUAUACAAAUACCUAUGUUCGUUCGUGUAAAAUUAUUAAUAAUUUUUUAGGAUAAAAAGCAGUGAGUUCAACGAAAUAUUUCCUAUCAAUCAAUUUAAGGUGUGUUUGGGCAGCCACAUUGAUGGAAAUAAGAAUGAUGACGAACCGUCGAGGAAGAAUAAGCGUGGUGAUGGUGGUUGAGGGCAUCAGUGAUAGUGGUGGUUGUUUGGCUGUUCAUGGUGGGAGUGGAUUAAUGUUUGAUUCGAAACUAGUUUGCUAGUUUGAAUAAAGCUCUGAUACUAUAUAGAAAUUAGCGAAAAUUGUGAUUUCGUGAGAAAGCCUAGUUAUUUGCACUAAAUUAGUGUUACACGGUAUGUUGUAAACGGUACUUAACUAAGAUAAAUUUACUAUACACACAUUAUCU
rnacentral:lncRNA from 1 species